GAUGAACGCUGGCGGCGUGCCUAAUACAUGCAAGUCGAGCGAAUGGAUUAAGAGCUUGCUCUUAUGAAGUUAGCGGCGGACGGGUGAGUAACACGUGGGUAACCUGCCCAUAAGACUGGGAUAACUCCGGGAAACCGGGGCUAAUACCGGAUAACAUUUUGAACCGCAUGGUUCGAAAUUGAAAGGCGGCUUCGGCUGUCACUUAUGGAUGGACCCGCGUCGCAUUAGCUAGUUGGUGAGGUAACGGCUCACCAAGGCAACGAUGCGUAGCCGACCUGCGAGGGUGAUCGGCUACACUGGGACUGAGACACGGCCCAGACUCCUACGGGAGGCAGCAGUAGGGAAUCUUCCGCAAUGGACGAAAGUCUGACGGAGCAACGCCGCGUGAGUGAUGAAGGCUUUCGGGUCGUAAAACUCUGUUGUUAGGGAAGAACAAGUGCUAGUUGAAUAAGCUGGCACCUUGACGGUACCUAACCAGAAAGCCACGGCUAACUACGUGCCAGCAGCCGCGGUAA
rnacentral:rRNA from 1 species